CCCACUCCCAGGCCCCACCCACUCCCAGGCCCCACCCACUCCCCCAGGCUCCUGCUGCCCUAGUUCCGCUGUGUUCUGGGCCCUCCACUGGGGACAGGGCUGGAACCAGUGGCCAUCUGCAGCCCAGCUGCCCGCUCAUAACUGAGGCAAGACUCAGGAGAAGAAUUGCACCCACACGUUCAGCCCGUCCUGCUCAACAGUCUUCCUCCCCGAGAACCUGCGUCGGGCCUGCCCUGGCCCCACAGGCGAUGCCUCCGACCCCGGGGGCCGUGUGGACCCAGAUGCACAACUGACCUGGAACACGACUGAGCGACAUCAGACCCAGCGUCAGGCGCAGAGCUGUUCGUUCUGUUGGAGAACAUUCCAGAGGUUCCGGAAGCCGGCAGGGCUUGGGGCUCACCCGAGUUUCUGUGUCAGGAGCUCUCCCCAGGCAUCUGCUGUGACUCAACUCAACAAAGCUUCACUGAGUGAACAUAGAUGGUGCCUGUCCCUGGGGAGACGAAGAGAAUUAAAUCUCGGAAUUUGAGAGACACACUCUUCUCCAGAACACAGUGCCAGCGGCAACCCCAGGCGGCGGUAAGGGACAUGGCAGCAGUGGGCUGGGCCAACUACAAAUAUUUGCACAGGUGAACACUUUAGAAAAGGAAGUCCAAUGGAGCAUUCAGGUGGCUGAGGAGAAGGAUGAGCCUCACGGAGCCCCACACCCUGAGCUUCUUCAGGGAGCGGCCGAAGCCUGUGUUCACACACAGACCCAGCAGCUAGCCCCCCUCCACCGCACAAACCAGCCACAGACAGGCCAAGGUCACUUGUGGCCUUGUGGCAUGCAGCC